AUUGAACGCUGGCGGCAGGCCUAACACAUGCAAGUCGAGCGGAUGAAGGGAGCUUGCUCCUGGAUUCAGCGGCGGACGGGUGAGUAAUGCCUAGGAAUCUGCCUGGUAGUGGGGGAUAACGUCCGGAAACGGGCGCUAAUACCGCAUACGUCCUGAGGGAGAAAGUGGGGGAUCUUCGGACCUCACGCUAUCAGAUGAGCCUAGGUCGGAUUAGCUAGUUGGUGGGGUAAAGGCCUACCAAGGCGACGAUCCGUAACUGGUCUGAGAGGAUGAUCAGUCAAACUGGAACUGAGACACGGCCCAGCCUCCUACGGGAGGCAGCAGUGGGGAAUAUUGGACAAUGGGCGAAAGCCUGAUCCAGCCAUGCCGCGUGUGUGAAGAAGGUCUUCGGAUUGUAAAGCACUUUAAGUUGGGAGGAAGGGCAGUAAGUUAAUACCUUGCUGUUUUGACGUUACCAACAGAAUAAGCACCGGCUAACUUCGU
rnacentral:rRNA from 1 species